AAAGCGAAAAAUUAGAGUGUUCAAAGCAGGCCCAGUCGCCUGAAUACCCCAGCUAGGAAUAAUGAAAUUGGACUGUGGUUCUAUUUUGUGGGUUUUCUCUCUCUGAACUGGGACCAUGAUUAAGAGGGAUGGCCGGGAACAUUUGUAUUGUGCCAGAGGGGAAAUUCUUGG